ACCUCUGCCAAGCGCGGAACAACCUACACCAAGUCCUAAAGUGUUGUGAUACUUGCUACGCAACCUACGAAAUUGAAGAAAGUCAAGGUUAACAGCCUAGUGGUUAAGCGGACUUGUCUGCUUCUGUAAGUAAGGCAUCCGGCUGCCAACCCUAUGGCUAACAACUUUGCAAAGUUCUAUACCAACACCUACGGCUGCAUAGGCUACGCGAGCUUAUCUGCUUAUAAAAAAGUAGCAUGCCUGUCACUGGUCUAUCAAGUUUAAAGGUUAGGGCAUGAACAAAAGAAGUGAAGAUGAAGAAAAACGAAGGAAAACAUGUUUAUAAAUAACUAGCAAAGGCCGAAGGAGUUCAAGCAAAACAAGAGCUACAAGGAAAAACAAAGAAAAUCCUAAAGGCUACCUAGAAUACUACACUACAGCAGCUUGGACAUCCCACGACUACUCGGUCGCCACACCUUCAGCAGCCGUAACGCUCUUAGCAGCGG
rnacentral:lncRNA from 1 species